rnacentral:rRNA from 1 species
GAUGAACGCUGGCGGCGUGCCUAAUACAUGCAAGUCGAGCGAACAGACGAGGAGCUUGCUCCUCUGACGUUAGCGGCGGACGGGUGAGUAACACGUGGAUAACCUACCUAUAAGACUGGGAUAACUUCGGGAAACCGGAGCUAAUACCGGAUAACAUGUUGAACCGCAUGGUUUAACAGUGAAAGACGGUCUUGCUGUCACUUAUAGAUGGAUCCGCGCCGCAUUAGCUAGUUGGUAAGGUAACGGCUUACCAAGGCAACGAUGCGUAGCCGACCUGAGAGGGUGAUCGGACACACUGGAACUGAGACACGGUCCAGACUCCUACGGGAGGCAGCAGUAGGGAAUCUUCCGCAAUGGGCGAAAGCAUGACGGAGCAACGCCGCGUGAGUGAAGAAGGUAUUCGGAUCGUAAAACUCUGUUAUUAGGGAAGAACAAAUGUGUAAGUAACUAUGCACGUCUUGACGGUACCUAAUCAGAAAGCCACGGCUAACUACGUG